GACGAUCGCUGGCGGCGUGCUUAACACAUGCAAGUCGAACGGAAAGGCCCUGCUUUUGUGGGGUGCUCGAGUGGCGAACGGGUGAGUAACACGUGAGUAACCUGCCCUUGACUUUGGGAUAACUUCAGGAAACUGGGGCUAAUACCGGAUAGGAGCUCCUGCUGCAUGGUGGGGGUUGGAAAGUUUCGGCGGUUGGGGAUGGACUCGCGGCUUAUCAGCUUGUUGGUGGGGUAGUGGCUUACCAAGGCUUUGACGGGUAGCCGGCCUGAGAGGGUGACCGGCCAAAUUGGGACGGGGAUACGGCCAAGACUCCUACGGGAGGCAGCAGUGGGGAAUAUUGCACAAUGGGCGGAAGCCUGAUGCAGCAACGCCGCGUGCGGGAUGACGGCCUUCGGGUUGUAAACCGCUUUCGCCUGUGACGAAGCGUGAGUGACGGUAAUGGGUAAAGAAGCACCGGCUAACUACGUG
rnacentral:rRNA from 1 species